UCCGUGGUGGCCUAUUGGUUAAGAUUCUGCGCUCCCAAUGCAAGAGGCCCAGGUUCAAGCCCUGAUCAAGGAA
rnacentral:tRNA from 1 species